rnacentral:rRNA from 1 species
CUAUGCGCCUUGCCAGCCCGCUCAGGUGUGCCAGCAGCCGCGGUAAUACAGAGGUCUCAAGCGUUGUUCGGAAUCACUGGGCGUAAAGCGUGCGUAGGCGGUUUCGUAAGUCGUGUGUGAAAGGCGGGGGCUCAACCCCCGGACUGCACAUGAUACUGCGAGACUAGAGUAAUGGAGGGGGAACCGGAGUUCUCGGUGUAGCAGUGAAAUGCGUAGAUAUCGAGAGGAACACUCGUGGCGAAGGCGGGUUCCUGGACAUUAACUGACGCUGAGGCACGAAGGCCAGGGGAGCGAAAGGG